GACGAACGCUGGCGGCGUGCUUAACACAUGCAGGUCGAACGAAGAGCGAUGGAAGCUUGCUUCUAUCAAUCUUAGUGGCGAACGGGUGAGUAACGCGUAAUCAACCUGCCCUUCAGAGGGGGACAACAGUUGGAAACGACUGCUAAUACCGCAUACGAUCUAAUCUCGGCAUCGAGGAUGGAUGAAAGGUGGCCUCUACAUGUAAGCUAUCACUGAAGGAGGGGAUUGCGUCUGAUUAGCUAGUUGGAGGGGUAACGGCCCACCAAGGCGAUGAUCAGUAGCCGGUCUGAGAGGAUGAACGGCCACAUUGGGACUGAGACACGGCCCAGACUCCUACGGGAGGCAGCAGUGGGGAAUCUUCCGCAAUGGACGAAAGUCUGACGGAGCAACGCCGCGUGAGUGAUGACGGCCUUCGGGUUGUAAAGCUCUGUUAAUCGGGACGAAAGGCCUUCUUGCGAAUAGUGAGAAGGAUUGACGGUACCGGAAUAGAAAGCCACGGCUAACUACGUG
rnacentral:rRNA from 1 species